CCUACGGGAGGCAGCAGUGGGGAAUAUUGGGCAAUGGGCGCAAGCCUGACCCAGCAACGCCGCGUGAAGGAAGAAGGCUUUCGGGUUGUAAACUUCUUUUCUCAGGGACGAAGAAAGUGACGGUACCUGAGGAAUAAGCCACGGCUAACUACGUGCCAGCAGCCGCGGUAAUACGUAGGUGGCAAGCGUUAUCCGGAUUUAUUGGGUGUAAAGGGCGUGUAGGCGGGAGCGCAAGUCAGAUAUGAAAACUCAGGGCUCAACCCUGAGCCUGCAUUUGAAACUGUGUUUCUUGAGUGCUGGGGAGGCAAUCGGAAUUCCGUGUGUAGCGGUGAAAUGCGUAGAUAUACGGAGGAACACCAGUGGCGAAGGCGGAUUGCUGGACAGUAACUGACGCUGAGGCGCGAAAGCGUGGGGAGCAAACAGGAUUAGAUACCCUUGUAGUC
rnacentral:rRNA from 1 species